GUCAAACCAAGGAUUUCUUCUCCAUAAGGUCUGCUGCCUGAGGCACAUUUGAUGAUUAUAUUUCUUUCACAAUCAACAGAGUCUCUUUGAGUGCAUACUGUCCUGAGACCUUAUUUUGAAAGGAUUAACAUUUAGAAUGGGAGGAGAGAAAAAGCACCUGAGAAGAGAGCCUCACAAACCGAAGUACCAGGAGUUCUUUUUUGCUGCUCAGUGUCACUGGUUCUCAGGAGAACAAGGUGAAGUCUUCAUGCCCAGCUGCUGCUGCUCUGUGUCCCAGCCUCACCUGGGUGCCUCACCUGGAAGUCUCAUCUGGGCUGGUAUAACCACCUACGAGCAGAAGUGUCUUUCUCUCUACCUGUGCAUCCAGCAGAGGUCAGCUAGAAUGUUUUCCAAAACCAGGACUCUGAUCAUAUCACUCUCCUCAAAUUACUGACUCAGUGCAUAUGAAUUUGAGCAAACUGGGAGACAGUGAAGGACAGGAAAGCCUGUUGUGCUACAGUUCAUGGGGUCACAAAGAAUUGGACACAACUUGGUGACUGAACAGCAAAACUUCAUGACUUUCUGCAGAAUUGCCUCACAGUCCUGUCAGGACUUCUCAGCCUGGCUUUCAAGGUCCUCCGUGAUCGGGUACCAACCUACCUUUCCAGCCUCACCUUGUCCCCAUCGCUUCACU
rnacentral:lncRNA from 1 species